rnacentral:rRNA from 1 species
GAUGAACGCUGGCGGCGUGCCUAAUACAUGCAAGUCGAGCGAACAGACGAGGAGCUUGCUCCUCUGACGUUAGCGGCGGACGGGUGAGUAACACGUGGAUAACCUACCUAUAAGACUGGGAUAACUUCGGGAAACCGGAGCUGAUACCGGCUAAUAUAUUGAACCGCAUGGUUCAAUAGUGAAAGACGGUUUUGCUGUCACUUAUAGAUGGAUCCGCGCCGCAUUAGCUAGUUGGUAAGGUAACGGCUUACCAAGGCAACGAUGCGUAGCCGACCUGAGAGGGUGAUCGGCCACACUGGAACUGAGACACGGUCCAGACUCCUACGGGAGGCAGCAGUAGGGAAUCUUCCGCAAUGGGCGAAAGCCUGACGGAGCAACGCCGCGUGAGUGAUGAAGGUCUUCGGAUCGUAAAACUCUGUUAUUAGGGAAGAACAAAUGUGUAAGUAACUAUGCACGUCUUGACGGUACCUAAUCAGAAAGCCACGGCUAACUACGUG